CCAGGGGCCACCAGCACCCAUGGGUGGGUGCUGGGGUGCUGCACCCUUGCCUUGGCGAGAAGAAAGGCAGGAGCCUCCCAUCCCAGCCCUUCCCAUGGAGGCAGGGAGCCCUCUGGGGGUCCAUGGCUGGUGCUGGGGACCCCGGUUGGCCAAGGCAAGGAGCCCGCUUUGGGGUGCUGAGGGUGCUGAGGCCACCCGUGAGCAGACUUGGGCACGGUGAGUCCCCGUCCUCGGCUCUUCCGCGCUUCCUGCAUGCUCCGGAGCUGCUGUCCGGGCGAUGGGAAUGGCACCGGGGCGAUGGGAAUGGUACCCAGGGGAUGGGAAUGGUACCCAGGGGAUGGGAAUGCCACCCGAGUGAUGGGAAUGGUACCCAAGUGAUGCAUACGGCACCAGGGCGAUGGGAAUGGUACCCAGGGGAUGGGAAUGGUAUCCAAGUGAUGGGAAUGGUAUCCAAGUGAUGGGAAUGGCACCUAGGUGAUGGGAAUGGUCCCCAAGUGAUGGGAAUGGUAUCCAAGUGAUGGGAAUGGUACCCAGGUGAUGGGAAUGGCACCCGAGCAAUGGGAAUGGCACCCAGGUGAUGGGAAUGGUCCCCAAGUGAUGGGAAUGGUAUCCAAGUGAUGGGAAUGGUACCCAGGUGAUGGGAAUGGUACCCAAGGGAUGGAAAUGGUCCCCAAGUGAUGGGAAUGGUAUCCAAGUGAUGGGAAUGGCACCCAGGUGAUGGGAAUGGUACCCAAGCGAUGCGAAUUGGCACCCAAGCGAUGCAAAUGGCACCCAGGUGAUGGGAAUGGUCCCCAAGCGGUGGGAAUGGCACUGGGGCGAUGGGAAUGGCACCCGGAUGAUGGGAAUGGCACCGGGAUGAUGGGAAUGGCACCGGGGCUCCGGUUAACGAACCCAAAGCAAGAAAAGUCGUCUGAGAAACGCUCUAUUUGCACUUAAACCUUCACACUAAUGGGCCCUUCCCUCCUCUUCCUCCUCUUAUCCCUCUUCCUCCUCCUCCUCCUCGCAGACACAGCCCUUGCCAGUGGAAUUCGCUGCCGGAGCAACCCCGGCCCCACAUCCCAUCCCCAUUCCCAUCCCAUCCCAUCCCCAUCCCCAUCCCAUCCU